rnacentral:rRNA from 1 species
ACACAUGCAAGUCGAGGGGCAGCAUUUUAGUUUGCUUGCAAACUAAAGAUGGCGACCGGCGCACGGGUGAGUAACACGUAUCCAACCUGCCGAUAACUCGGGGAUAGCCUUUCGAAAGAAAGAUUAAUAUCCGAUAGUAUAUUAAAACCGCAUGGUUUUACUAUUAACGAAUUUCGGUUAUCGAUGGGGAUGCGUUCCAUUAGUUUGUUGGCGGGGUAACGGCCCACCAAGACUACGAUGGAUAGGGGUUCUGAGAGGAAGGUCCCCCACAUUGGAACUGAGACACGGUCCAAACUCCUACGGGAGGCAGCAGUGAGGAAUAUUGGUCAAUGGACGAGAGUCUGAACCAGCCAAGUAGCGUGAAGGAUGACUGCCCUAUGGGUUGUAAACUUCUUUUAUAUGGGAAUAAAGUUUUCCACGUGUGGAAUUUUGUAUGUACCGUAUGAAUAAGGAUCGGCUAACUCCGUGCCAGCAGCCGCGGUAAUACGGAGGAUUCGAGCGUUAUCCGGAUUUAUUGGGUUUAAAGGGAGCGUAGGCGGGUUGUUAAGUCAGUUGUGAAAGUUUGCGGCUCAACCGUAAAAUUGCAGUUGAUACUGGCGACCUUGAGUGCAACAGAGGUAGGCGGAAUUCGUGGUGUAGCGGUGAAAUGCUUAGAUAUCACGAAGAACUCCGAUUGCGAAGGCAGCUUACUGGAUUGUAACUGACGCUGAUGCUCGAAAGUGUGGGUAUCAAACAGGAUUAGAUACCCUGGUAGUCCACACAGUAAACGAUGAAUACUCGCUGUUGGCGAUAUACAGUCAGCGGCCAAGCGAAAGCAUUAAGUAUUCCACCUGGGGAGUACGCCGGCAACGGUGAAACUCAAAGGAAUUGACGGGGG